CGAUUCUGGCUCAGGAUGAACGCUGGCGGCGUGCUUAACACAUGCAAGUCGAACGAUUAAACCACUCGGUGGAUAUAGAGUGGCGAACGGGUGAGUAACACGUGGGCAACCUGCCCCUCACACCGGGACAACUAUUGGAAACGAUAGCUAAUACCGGAUACUCCGAUCGCGUGGCAUCACGCUUUCGGGAAAGCCCAGACGGUGAGGGAUGGGCCCGCGGUCCAUUAGCUCGUUGGUGGGGUAACGGCCCACCAAGGCGACGAUGGAUAGCCGGGUUGAGAGACCGACCGGCCACAUUGGGACUGAGACACGGCCCAGACUCCUACGGGAGGCAGCAGUGGGGAAUUUUGCGCAAUGGGGGAAGCCCUGAACCGCAGCAACGCCGCGUGCGGGAUGAAGGCCUUCGGGUUGUAAACCGCUUUCAGCAGGGAAGAAGAUGACGGUACCUGCAGAAGAAGCUCCGGCUAACUACGUGCCAGCCGCUGC
rnacentral:rRNA from 1 species